rnacentral:rRNA from 1 species
CCUGGUGACCAUACCGAGGGGGAACCACCCGUUCCCAUCCCGAACACGGCAGUUAAGCCCCUCAGGGCCGAUGGUACUGGUCAGGGUAACCGACCGGGAGAGUAGGUCGUUGCCAGGA